AUAGUACAGGUUUGACUUGGCGUUUUCUUCGGGACAAACAAAAUGGUCAUAACAAAGAGGUGCUGUUAUUAACGGGGCAGUUUUAAGGCAUGAUUCCCUUUAUUGCGCGCCUUUCCAAAUGAAUGCGUAACCAAUAAGCUUGGCAAAGUGUACACUAAGGAACAAACAGUCACUUUAGACAGUCAACUAGAAACCAUUCCAGUUCUCCUUUCGUAGUUAAUUUGACCUCCUAGCAAGUGUCACGAUGUCGUCACACAAUGCUUAUACGUUGUAAUGUGGAUUGGUGUUGCGUGAUAAGGAGACUGCCAGGUCAAAGACAAGCCGUGCUGUACUAUAUAAAGGGGACAGUUGGAGCGUAACCACAGCAAAGUGUUGCGUGACAAUGCGAACAAGGAGCGCGAAGAAGUCAGAGUCUCUUUGGUAAUUACUGACGUUGUUGUUGUUGCUGUUGUUGUUGUUUAUCAGGAGCAUGCCUUUCACGUUGCACAAUUCUACGAGAAGCCGUCAUUAGGUCACACUCUUGGAUCCACUCUGCUAUCAUAGGUUGGAAAUCAGUUGUAGGACAAUGGGUUCGAAUGGAGGGUGUAUCUGUACUUGGCGAAGACGUCAUAGUUAAAGAUGAAUUAUAUAUCAACGGAGGAAGGAUACUUCCUCACAAAUCCAUCUCCGACUCGUCACCAGAGCCGCAGAUUAUCAUGUAAAUAGUGAAUUGCCAACGACAAAUUUCUAAUAUGACUCUAUUAGGUUUUUUAAUAAGUAGCUUUUGGUGAAGAUGUCGCUAUAAAAAAAAAAAAA